CCGAGAAGGAAAUGGGGGACCCUUCCUUCAGUGGGAGGAAGGGCGAGCACAGAGACUCUCCAAUGAAAGCACAGCAGGUCCGGGCUGAAGACAAAAAAACAGCUCGCAGGCAAGUUGAAGCCAGCAGUCCGGGCUGAACAAGACGGGAAGCCAGACAAACAGGCUUCCAGGCCUUCUCUCCAAAUGCCUGCAUGCAGACCCCCUGUCUCCAUCUGAGAGAGUGAACUCCGCGGGCUGCCUCUCUCCCCUCAGAACAGAGCCAGCCUCUCCUCUCUCCCCCCGCCUCUCUGAUGGUCCAUCAGCGAGGAAUGCAGUCUGCCACAGGUCUAAGAAGCUACAUCUCAGCUCCUACAGGGAGGACUUACAUUCAAGGCCUUCAUAAAAAUUCCACUGCAUUCUAAAGCAAAAGAAAUGUUGUUAUUUUCAGUCCUACUCUUUCUCACUGUGAAAAGUUGGAUUUGUUGACAUGCAAAAAGGAAAACAUGAAUGAUAUACACUUGUUGAUUAUUCCUUUGUUCACUUUUACUUUUGUUGGAAAUAAUCCUAUUGUGCUACAUUUUUAGUCUCAAAAAUGUUUGUUUCCAAAUCUGAUAUGAACUUCAUCUUUGUCCAGACAAUGACAUUAAUAUUCCUCCUCUUCAGUCCAACAUAAUAUGGUAUACUUUCAUUUCCAAACACUUAAAUGACCUUUCACUUCUGUCUUGAAAAUCUUUUUAAAGUGAAGCUAUAGCUUUUUCUGGAACAUUAGCUUUCCAUCUAAACCCUAGUCUAAGAUCAGCUGUGGCCUUUUCGUGAGGUUUCUCCUUUUCCGUGCAGUCUUUUUGGUCUCCAGCAGUGAAAAAAAAGCUGUUUGAAUAAAACUGUAAGUUUCUUAGAUUGGUCUCAUAUGCAGGCCUUCAAUGGUUAAGUAAGGUAGUUCUUCAGUGUGCUGACUUCAUCCCUUCAGGGUUUUUCCAACUGCUCUGGUGCUUGGUACACUCUGUCUUUCCUUUUUCUGAUGCGAUGGAGCCUAUGUUAUUGAAAAAGUCCAUUGAUGAUUUACUAAUUAGCCAUUAUUACCAGAACUGGUCUGACCUUAUCUACUUUCAGUACUGCUCUUACUGGCUCUGUUCCUCCAGAGCAUUCUCACCUAUUCCCAUGCAGAAUGCA